UGGGGUAUGGCUUGGUGGUAGAGCGCUUGCCUAGCAUGUAUGAGGCACUGAGUUUGAUCCUCAGCACUGCAU
rnacentral:tRNA from 1 species